CUCUGCUGAAGGUUGAAUAUUAAUCUCGACAAUAUCGAUAGAAGAACAAUGUCCUUUGUCAUAUUGUUCUUUCCAAGGUCAGACAUAUCUAUUAAGUGAAAAUAGCGGCAGAAGUCCCCAAAUUUUGAUUUGUGUUGCAUCUUGGUCCCAAUCUUCAGAAUAGAGCAUUUACUUCUCCAGUCUCUAAUUUGAAUAGCACUUAGGUUUACGCCCUUAUAGUUAACAAGCUAAAAUUUCAUUGAAAAGAUAGUAUUGCAGUUCUCUAUUUGUUUCAUUUUAUCUAACAAAAUGGGGCAAAAAAAAAAAAGAGAGAGAGAGAAUAAAAAUUACAUUUUGUUUUACGCUAAAUUUUAUUUAUCAUUCAAAUUUAGAGAUUAGUGUUAAUAUAUUGCUUUAACUAUAAUUUCUCUUUCAAUCAUGACCAUGAAAAUGAACUUGUAGAGUUCUCGACUUUUAAGUGCAAUAAGUGAAACUUACAAUUCAAUCUAUAAAUAAAUUGAAAUGAGUGUCACUUAUGAAUUUCAUGAAAUGUAUAAAUGAAAAGUGAUUUGACGGUUCAUAAACAUUAUAGCAAAACAUAGGCUAAAAUAAGCGCCAUAACUUGGGAUUUUCCAAUUUGAUUUUCAAGUCAAGAAUUUAUACCUCAAAUUAAUCAAAAUCUAAUUGUUAAUAUUUAACCAAUUCUUAUGCAUUUAUAUAUGAGUCUAAUCAAGAUAUGAUAUCUACCUAUAUAAAUAAACAUCUUAUCACACUUCCCAACAUUUAAUGCGAAGCAAGUGAUAAUCAGAUGACGACAAUUUGGUAUUAGACCUAUUUAAGUAUUGAAUUACCAUGUUCUUAGAAAGAGCAUUACAAGUGCUGCCAACGUAGCACUUGUCAAAUAUCCGGUCACCUAAACCUGUGCAAAGAACAUUACUCAAUUAUCAUCAAUAUUUCAUCACAGUUCCCAACAAUUCACUCGAGGGAUAUCUACUGUUGCGUUGGUAUCAGAUCUAUAAAGGAAUAAUGCUACAAACAUUGGAAUUACAGAUUUAAAUAAUGAAAUUUGGAAGGUUGUUGAUUGGAACAAAUCAAAUAUAUAUCUUUUUGAUUAUUAUAUUCAUUUGAUUACAAGUGGAAUAAUGAUCGAAUGAUUAACAAAAGCCUCAAUGCAAUGGCAAUGCAUAAGAAGAUAACAAGAAAUAUAUUUGGGAAUCUUCAUCAGACUUGUUUUCUUCAAUGUUAUCUGAUUAGACCCCUCAUUAGAAAUAUAUGAAGAACCUUAACUAACAAUAAUUAACCACUUAAAAGAUUAUCGGUAAUGACCCGACCUCUAUACCCAAAUAUUAAUUUACGUAUUGUUCGCUAUGGGAAAGCCUAGCACAUUUUACCCCUUACCAAGAUUUAAUUUAAGUCUCUCUUAAAGAAAAUAUCAUGGAUUCGUAUCUUGGAGACGAGACAGAAAGUUAUGAUGAGUAAGAUGGGCUAGGUGCUCCUAUAGCAAACAAUAUGCAAAUUAAUGACUUGGACAUAGCGGUAGAAUCAUUACAUUAUCCAUAUAAUCAUAGCAUGAACAAGAGCUUAGACUAUAUGCAUCACUUCAAAAAGCAAAGUCAUCAUAUUAUUAAUCCUACCAUUCAAGCCUAUAAAUUAACCAAUUCUCACAAAAGUACCGAAAAGAUAUUGGGAGAGUUAGAUACUUUUGAAAGACCGUCUCUUGAUUACAGAGGAUCGAUUACCAUUCCAUAAAAUAAAUUAUAUUUCCAAUCACAAUUCAUGAAAUAUGGGGUUGAUUAGCUGGUCUUCUCUUACACGGUAUCAGAGUCAAAACUCUUUUUUUAGGGUUGAUUCUCAAUAGCCAAAAAUUCUCUCUUCUAAUCAAUUUCAGAUUAUAUUCUAACUGUAUUUAGUAAUCAUCAGCCACUAUACCCAUGGAAGAUCAUCCCAUCAACAUAAAUUAUGAUAUUAGCGAU
rnacentral:lncRNA from 1 species